CUUACGGGGGGCUGCAGUAAGGAAUAUUGGUCAAUGGAGGAAACUCUGAACCAGCCAUCCCGCGUGAAGGAUGAAGGGGCUCUGCCUUGUAAACUUCUUUUGUCUGGGGCGAAAAAGCUCGAUUUAUCGAGAACUGACGGUACCAGAAGAAUAAGCACCGGCUAACUCCGUGCCAGCAGCCGCGGUAAUACGGAGGGUGCAAUAGUUACUGGGAAUCAAGGGGUCUAAAGGGUGUUAGUGCGGCUGUGGUGAAAGGCUGUGGCUUAACCAUGGAAUUGCCAUUGAUACUGCAGAGCUUGAAUGAGGUUGAGGUUGGCGGAAUGUGACAUGUAGCGGUGAAAUGCUUAGAUAUGUCAUGGAACACCGAUUGCGAAGGCAGCUGACUGGACCUAUAUUGACGCUGAGGCACGAAAGCGUGGGGAGCGAACAGGAUUAGAUACCCCGGUAGUC
rnacentral:rRNA from 1 species